rnacentral:sRNA from 1 species
CUUAAGAAGGGAUUGGGAUCAAAGAGGUAUGUGGAGAGAGGGUUGGGGGUGAUGGGCUGGCAUUCAGCCGCAGGCAGGGCAGGAAGUCUGUUUUUCCAGCCAGAGCUGGAGGAAACCAGUCUUGCAAAGCUGUGGAUGACUCAGAAGGGAGGACAGUGCCGUGUGGGGGCGGAGGCAGAGUGACUGAUCACUUCCCUCCCGCAGACAGGCUUCAUCUUCGGAACAUUCGAUCAGAGGUCUGAGUUCUCUGAGGCUUAUGCCUGCUGAGAGAAGAGGAGGGCUGCCCUGAGGCUUGGAAAUGCUGCCUGAUCUGCUCCAAGGCCAGCUCUGCCCCUGUUGGCAGGGGUGGAACGGACCAGCACGCCCCCUGCUGGCAGAGGUUGAAUGGACAGGGCUCAAUGUGAGCCACGAGUCACAGAGACUGGAUGAAAGAAGAGAUUGUUGAAUUAAGCUUCUGUCUACAGAGCUAUGCUGAGAUCUGCAGAGGAACACAGGGGUUGCCUCAGGAGCUGGCUGGUGACAUCUGUCAGGAGGAACAAAGCCUUGAGUGCCCGGGUGCAAGCUUGCCUAGGUAGAAGGCUUACCCGGCCACACCCAAUGCUCAGCUAAUCCCAGCAGGAGGCCUGCCAAGCGAGCUUUGCAUCUGCAAAUCCGUGCCACAGAGGACAGGGAUGUCAGAGAGGUGAAACGACACGCUCAGGAUCACCGAAGUAGGAUGGGGGCAGGAAGGAAAUCUGCCUCAACCCAUCUCUUUAUGCACCACCACACCCUGAGAUCAGACAGACUGCAGAAGGCCAGCGGCUCUGCCUAGGCCGUGCCCCUCUGCACUGAGGGGCUCUCUGGGGCCCAGGCUUUGAGGAGACUUCAUCCUCAGCCAGAAGCAGACCUGAUUACCCUCUGAUUACCUGGGACUGGAGACUAGGGCCAUCCUAUGGGAGAUGUUUUCUGGUGGGACUUAGCUGGGAAGGGACCCGCGGGUGCAGUUGCCAUUUAGUGACCACCUACUGUGUGCCAUGCACGUCUCAAACACAGUCUUUUUCACAUCCCAAUAUUUGUCAAAGGGCUCUGCAUCUCUGACUUGUGGCUUUGAGUGUGGAGAACAGCGGGAUAAUAUACCUGAUGUGUCAUCGGCAGCCAGAUCCUGCUAAGGUCAAAUCACUGUGGGUUGUAAUUGUCACUUAAGACGCCCAGUGUUUCUCAAUCUUAGGUUCCUAUGACAGCUGGCAACGGAUAAGUGUGUAGAGGAGGGAAGUAGUGGGGUAAAAGUGUCCUGGCACAUGGUUCCAGCUGUCCCCUGUCCUACCCAGCAGAAAGAGCACGCAGAAUGACAAGGCUGGAAAAUGGAAAAAAAAAAAAAAAAAAAAAAAGAGGUGCUGCAGGUUGUGCUGUAGUUGCUUUGGGCGGACUGAAGGUGGCGCUCACGGUACUGCAGGCUCCACACGAAAAUGUGAGGCUAGCCCAGCUUCUCCAACACCCUGGAGGUGGGGGAUGUGCGGGGCUCUACAUCUGCACAGAGCCUCUUUCCAGCCCCUGUCUGACCACCUGGACAAAGGAGUCAGGAUGAGGGCACUUCCUAACCUACUUGUUUCCUAAUACAAAGUUACAUUCUGUCUGAAGGCAGGGCAAGCCACAGCAAGGUGCCGGGCCACACUAAGGAUGGUUUAGACCAGGGCAGCCACAGGACACGUGUUUCGGGUUUAGAAACACAAAUGGUGCAAGCGUGUGCAGUCUAAGGAUGACACACACCACGGUACCAUGUUGUCUUUAUAGAUGUCCAGUUCUGCAGUGACCCACCCUGCACACAGCAGCCCCCCCUCAGCACCCCAGCAGCACCUGGCUUCCAGAAACCUCCAGGCGCCCCGCAGACAAAACAUCUCUCACCAAUGUGUGAGCGUCCUCGUGGGGGAGCUGCAGGUCUUUCUUUCCCAGAGCCUGAAGACUGGCCGGGGGGCUUAUGCCCCUAAUUCUUUUCUCCCUUUCAGAAUUUGGGAUUUUGCUUUCAUUGUUAACCUGGGGGUUGAAACGGGUACCCUAGCUUAACACACACACACACACACACACACACACACACACACACACUCACACACUUUUUCUUUGAAAAGUAAGGAUGCAUAUUAUUGUUUUUUUAAAGACCCUGAAAGGACUGGCCACACAGUGGGUGCUCAAGUGUCGCCUCCCUUCCGGUGCUGGGGCUUGUUUCGUGUUCAUUAAAUGCGCCUUGCAGACAGGCUUAAAAAUCUUGUUUCCUCUCCCCAUCGACGGAAAUGUCUCUCUCAUAAGUAACAUUUUAAACAUCUCGAUAACAUGCUCACAGGUGUGUGAACUGUAGUUUAUUUGAAUCUUCCAUUACUGUACUUUUAGUCUGUUUUCAAUUUUUCUCCUAAUAAAUGAUACGGCUGAUGUCUUUA